rnacentral:rRNA from 1 species
GACCCGAAACCCGGUGAUCUAGCCAUGGGCAGGUUGAAGGUUGGGUAACACUAACUGGAGGACCGAACCGACUAAUGUUGAAAAAUUAGCGGAUGACUUGUGGCUGGGGGUGAAAGGCCAAUCAAACCGGGAGAUAGCUGGUUCUCCCCGAAAGCUAUUUAGGUAGCGCCUCGUGAAUUCAUCUCCGGGGGUAGAGCACUGUUUCGGCAAGGGGGUCAUCCCGACUUACCAACCCGAUGCAAACUGCGAAUACCGGAGAAUGUUAUCACGGGAGACACACGGCGGGUGCUAACGUCCGUCGUGAAGAGGGAAACAACCCAGACCGCCAGCUAAGGUCCCAAAGUCAUGGUUAAGUGGGAAACGAUGUGGGAAGGCCCAGACAGCCAGGAUGUUGGCUUAGAAGCAGCCAUCAUUUAAAGAAAGCGUAAUAGCUCACUGGUCGAGUCGGCCUGCGCGGAAGAUGUAACGGGGCUAAACCAUGCACCGAAGCUGCGGCAGCGACGCUUAUGCGUUGUUGGGUAGGGGAGCGUUCUGUAAGCCUGCGAAGGUGUGCUGUGAGGCAUGCUGGAGGUAUCAGAAGUGCGAAUGCUGACAUAAGUAACGAUAAAGCGGGUGAAAAGCCCGCUCGCCGGAAGACCAAGGGUUCCUGUCCAACGUUAAUCGGGGCAGGGUGAGUCGACCCCUAAGGCGAGGCCGAAAGGCGUAGUCGA